rnacentral:lncRNA from 1 species
GACCUUUACCCCAGUGCCGGGCCGCGCGGCACGCCGGGAUGCUGGGGGCGGUGAGCGCGGGGCAGGUUGGAAGCGCGGCAGCAGCUGUGGGACCUUCCUCCGUCGAGCGCUGCUACCGGCUGCGGUCCCGUGGGUCCGACAGCGGCUCCUGAGAGCACUCAGGCAGCUCCUUGCAGUGACUCCACACCGUCAACUCAAUCCUUCCCAUCACCUCACCCUUCCUCUUCCGGAGCUUCGUCGUGUUCCGAGCUUGGGACCCGCCCAGCGGAAGUGACGCCCCGUGGAGGCCGGUGCUUCCGGCGCGCAGGCAGCGGUGGCCCGGCAGGAGGAGCCCCGCGCCGCUCCCUAAUCGCCGCGCCGCCGCACGGCCCGCCUCGCGGCGCCCGAGAGCUUCUGAUUUGCCCAUGAAUGAGUGCAUUGUGCUGUUAGGUGAGUUCUGUUCCUCGUUUUCCUAGUACCUUGUUAUGCUUUGUCCAUUGAGAUUGUGCCUUAGCUUUGCUCUCUCCACACAUACGUAUGACAUUUCAUUAUGCUGGAAGUGAGUUCUUUCUGAGAGUAUUGUGACAGGAGUCAUGAAAGUUAUCACAUCUGCAGACUUUUCUGCUUGAUGUGGCCCAUUUGCCUGUGCAGACAGUGCUCUGUUCAAGUAAGUGUGUUAGUGGCACAGAGAAACAUUUCUGUGCUCUUCUGAGCCUCCUCCCCAGUGACUGGUAUGUACCUGCUGAAGUACCAGGUGGGCCUGAUAUUCUACUUAGAUAUCUAAAAACAUCUCCUUGCUUGGAUAGGACUCACCAGGUGUUGAGAGAGCAAAUGGACCAAGUGUUUGGGGUUUUUGUUCCACCUCUAGGGUGUAGAAUGAUCUGAGUGAGUUUGGGACCUUUCCUGACUGGUGGAACUUGCCUGGGCUUUGUGAUGCUCUGAGGUUGGCUGAACAAAGCUGUGGCACAUUGGGCUAUUGAUGGCUCUGUAGGAGUGUUCACAGUUACUCCUUUAACGUAAGGUUUAGCAGGUAAAGAUCUAUUAAGUUUUUAUGCAGGAAGUCAGUGUUGAUACAGAUUAAGCCCAGAACUAAAUCAUUAAGCAGAACAGAGGGAGGGACCAUUUAGGUUUGCCUUGUGUCUGUCAAAUUGGAUUUCAUGCCUGUCUCUUUCCAGUAUGGAGAGAUGGUGCUUCUGCUCCUCUGAAGUUCAAUGGGAAGCAGUGCUUUAAAAUACUUGUGUGCUAUUUAUUUUGUGGAUGGCUGAGGAAUCAAGGAGCAAAUGGAGGGAAUGGAUAUCAGAAUUCAGGGGAUAAUACAAUUAGCUGCUAGCCUUCAUCUUCUCUCAGUGGAGGUUUGUAUCUGCUGCCCCUCAAGUUAAUCAUACAUCACAUCUCUUCCUGCUUAUUCUGUGCUGCUUGGCCAGGUUGCUGGAAAUAGAAAGCAAACAAGUUGAGAAAAAGUAAUGUAAUUUGUGAUUGUGAUUUCCUGAGCUCUAAAGUC